rnacentral:rRNA from 1 species
CUACCAUGCAGUCGAGCGGUACAGGAAGCGCUUGUUGCUUCUGUGAAGAGUGGCGGAGGGGUGAGUAGUGUGGGGGAAAGUGCGUGGUGGAGGGGGAUCACUAGUGGACAGGGGCUCUAACCCCGCAUAACCUCACAAGACCAAAGAGGGGGACCUUCGGCCCUCUUGCCCUCAUGUGUGCCCAUAUGGGAUUAUCUAAUAUGGGGGGUAACGGCUCCCCUACGACAAUAUCCCUAUGUGGUCUGAGAAGAUGACCACCCACUGUGGAUCUGACACACGGCCCACACUCCUACGGGAAGCAACAGUGGAAAAUAUUGCACAGUGGGCGCACCCCUGAUGCCCCCGUGCCGCGUGUAUGAAAAGCGCCUUCGGUUUGUAAAGUUUUUUCCGCGGAGAAGAGGGUGUUGAGGUUAAUAACCUCAGCAAUUGACGUUACCCGCAAAAAAAGCACCGGCUAUCUCCGUGCCAGCACCCGCGGUAAUACAGAGGGUGCAAGCGUUACUCAGAAUUACUGGGCGUAAAGCGCACGCGCGCGCUCUGUCAAGUCAGAUGUGAAAUCCCCGGGCUCACCCUGAGAACUGCUUUCAAAACUGGCGGGCUAGACUCUUGUAGAGGGGGGUAAAAUUCCAGGUGUAGCGGUGAAAUGCAUAGAUAUCUGGAAGAAUACCGGUGGCGAACGCGGCCCUGUGCACAAAGACUGACGCUCAUGUGCGAAAGCGUGGAGAGCAAACAAGAUUAUAUACUGUGAUACUACACGCCGUACACUAU